GGAGGCAGAGGCAGGCAGAUUUCUGAUUUUGAGGCCAGCUUGGUUUACAGAGUAAGUUCCAGGACAGCCAGGGCUAUACAGAGAAACCCUGUCUCAAAACAAAACAAAACAAAACAAAACAAAACAAAACAAAACAAAACAAAGCAAAGCAAAGCAAAGCAAAGCAAAUCUAAUAAAAUUUACGGUAAAAAGAAAGCUUUAUUUUUCUCCUUCAAUCCUUCGUAGGAUAAUUGAACCUUUGAUCUCUUCCCUAUUCUAUCACACUUGCUUCUGAGGUAAACUAUGGUAAAAAAGUAGUGUUCAAUAAUGGUUCAAUUAGAUUUUCAUAUUUAGGAUUUUUUUUAAGCAAAUGCUUUUGUAGUUUUUUGAACUACUGGUAUAUACUUAGGAAGGAGAUAGUGUUGUUGGCUGUAAGGAUAACAUUUGCUUAAACUGGGUGAGGUGGAGUAAGUUUGUAAUUCCAGCACUCAGUAUACUGAGGCAGGAGGAUAGUGACUUCAAGGCCAUUAUACCUGUCAAAAGAAGUAGACACACAUACACACACACACACACACACACACACACACACACACACACACAUCAUAGUUAGCCAGAAAUUUUAAUAUGCCUAUCAAAUUAAAGUUGCUGAUUUUGUUUUUUCAAUUUUUUAAAAUUUAGUUUUCAGUUCUCAAAUACUUUAAAUACAACUGGCUAUAGUCUAAAUAAAUUUAAGUUUAUAUGUAACUAAGUCAAACCUGGAGACUUAUAAGUGGACAAAAUGCUGCCUUUGCGCUAUACCCUUAAGUUUCUGAUUUUAUUUUUUUAAGCUUUUUUUCCUGUAAUAUAUUUUCAUCAUACUUUCCCUUCCAUAACUCUUCACAGAUCUUGUCCAUUUCCCUCUCCACCCUGUUUUACUUUGCCUUUGUUGUCUCUCUGGUGUGUCUCUCUCUCCUUGGCUCCAUUUAUUUCUUCAUGUUAUCUCUGUCUCUCUCCCUUCUUCCCCCCUCAUAUACACAAAGGAACCAAAACAACAUGC
rnacentral:lncRNA from 1 species